rnacentral:misc_RNA from 1 species
UAAAUACAAAGGUUAUGGUCGUCAAUCAUUUUCAGAGCCUUAACCAAAAUAGACAGAAGAAAUUAAAAGCCAACACAUAAAUGAAAAAAUUUGGCAAUAGGAGGGUGACCUCAAACUGACCACCAUUUCAUUUUCAUUGAUGACAGUUUUUACUUCAAAGUCGUAUGCAUAACCAAAGAUAACUUCCAAUUCUCAGGUAACAUCCAUAAGCAAAAGUCAUACAAGUAAUUUCUGCUCUUUCAAGCAUGUAAAAUUGUAAAUAAUAAAAAGGAACUGAAAAACAGCAUAAAAAAGAAAUCCAUACUUAGAAAGGAUUAAUAAAUAAAUAAGAAGCAAAAGCAACCCACCCUCCUUUCUUGCUU